rnacentral:tRNA from 1 species
GCGAGCGUGGCGGAACCGGCAGACGCGCCAGGUUUAGGUCCUGGUGCCCUUCGGGGCUUGGGGGUUCGACUCCCCCCGCUCGCA